rfam:Prochlorococcus marinus str. NATL2A, complete genome.
ACAACGGAGAGUUUGAUCCUGGCUCAGGAUGAACGCUGGCGGCGUGCUUAACACAUGCAAGUCGAACGAACCUUCGGGUUAGUGGCGGACGGGUGAGUAACGCGUGGGAAUCUGCCCUCAGGAGGGGGAUAACGGUUGGAAACGACCGCUAAUACCCCAUAUGCCGAGAGGUGAAAUGAAUUUCGCCUGAGGAUGAGCCCGCGUCUGAUUAGCUUGUUGGUGAGGUAAUGGCUCACCAAGGCAUCGAUCAGUAGCUGGUCUGAGAGGAUGAUCAGCCACACUGGGACUGAGACACGGCCCAGACUCCUACGGGAGGCAGCAGUGGGGAAUUUUCCGCAAUGGGCGAAAGCCUGACGGAGCAACGCCGCGUGAGGGACGAAGGCCUCUGGGCUGUAAACCUCUUUUCUCAAGGAAGAAGAUAUGACGGUACUUGAGGAAUAAGCCACGGCUAAUUCCGUGCCAGCAGCCGCGGUAAUACGGGAGUGGCAAGCUUUAUCCGGAAUUAUUGGGCGUAAAGCGUCCGCAGGCGGCCUUCCAAGUCUGCUGUUAAAGCGUGGAGCUUAACUCCAUCAUGGCAGUGGAAACUGAUUGGCUUGAGUAUGGUAGGGGCAGAGGGAAUUCCCGGUGUAGCGGUGAAAUGCGUAGAUAUCGGGAAGAACACCAGUGGCGAAGGCGCUCUGCUGGGCCAUUACUGACGCUCAUGGACGAAAGCCAGGGGAGCGAAAGGGAUUAGAUACCCCUGUAGUCCUGGCCGUAAACGAUGAACACUAGGUGUCGGGGGAAUCGACCCCUUCGGUGUCGUAGCUAACGCGUUAAGUGUUCCGCCUGGGGAGUACGCACGCAAGUGUGAAACUCAAAGGAAUUGACGGGGGCCCGCACAAGCGGUGGAGUAUGUGGUUUAAUUCGAUGCAACGCGAAGAACCUUACCAGGGCUUGACAUCCUGCGAACCUUUAAGAAAUUAGAGGGUGCCUUCGGGAACGCAGUGACAGGUGGUGCAUGGCUGUCGUCAGCUCGUGUCGUGAGAUGUUGGGUUAAGUCCCGCAACGAGCGCAACCCACGUUUUUAGUUGCCAGCAUUCAGUUGGGCACUCUAGAAAGACCGCCGGUGAUAAACCGGAGGAAGGUGUGGAUGACGUCAAGUCAUCAUGCCCCUUACGUCCUGGGCUACACACGUACUACAAUGCUACGGACAAAGGGCAGCAAACUCGCGAGAGCUAGCAAAUCCCAUAAACCGUGGCUCAGUUCAGAUCGUAGGCUGCAACUCGCCUACGUGAAGUAGGAAUCGCUAGUAAUCGCAGGUCAGCAUACUGCGGUGAAUACGUUCCCGGGCCUUGUACACACCGCCCGUCACACCAUGGAAGUUGGCCACGCCCGAAGUCGUUACUUUAACCCUUGUGGAGAAGGACGCCGAAGGUGGGGCUGAUGACUGGGGUGAAGUCGUAACAAGGUAGCCGUACCGGAAGGUGCGGCUGGAUCACCUCCUAA